ACGCUAGCUACAGGCUUAACACAUGCAAGUCGAGGGGCAGCAUUUCAGUUUGCUUGCAAACUGGAGAUGGCGACCGGCGCACGGGUGAGUAACACGUAUCCAACCUGCCGAUAACUCGGGGAUAGCCUUUCGAAAGAAAGAUUAAUACCCGAUGGCAUAAUUAGACCGCAUGGUCUUGUUAUUAAAGAAUUUCGGUUAUCGAUGGGGAUGCGUUCCAUUAGGCAGUUGGUGAGGUAACGGCUCACCAAACCUUCGAUGGAUAGGGGUUCUGAGAGGAAGGUCCCCCACAUUGGAACUGAGACACGGUCCAAACUCCUACGGGAGGCAGCAGUGAGGAAUAUUGGUCAAUGGGCGCAGGCCUGAACCAGCCAAGUAGCGUGAAGGAUGACUGCCCUAUGGGUUGUAAACUUCUUUUAUAUGGGAAUAAAGUUUUCCACGUGUGGAAUUUUGUAUGUACCAUAUGAAUAAGGAUCGGCUAACUCCGUGCCAGCAGCCGCGGUAAUACGGAGGAUCCGAGCGUUAUCCGGAUUUAUUGGGUUUAAAGGGAGCGUAGGUGGACAGUUAAGUCAGUUGUGAAAGUUUGCGGCUCAACCGUAAAAUUGCAGUUGAUACUGGCUGUCUUGAGUACAGUAGAGGUGGGCGGAAUUCGUGGUGUAGCGGUGAAAUGCUUAGAUAUCACGAAGAACUCCGAUUGCGAAGGCAGCUCACUGGACUGCAACUGACACUGAUGCUCGAAAGUGUGGGUAUCAAACAGGAUUAGAUACCCUGGUAGUCCACACAGUAAACGAUGAAUACUCGCUGUUUGCGAUAUACAGUAAGCGGCCAAGCGAAAGCAUUAAGUAUUCCACCUGGGGAGUACGCCGGCAACGGUGAAACUCAAAGGAAUUGACGGGGGCCCGCACAAGCGGAGGAACAUGUGGUUUAAUUCGAUGAUACGCGAGGAACCUUACCCGGGCUUAAAUUGCAUUUGAAUAUAUUGGAAACAGUAUAGCCGUAAGGCAAAUGUGAAGGUGCUGCAUGGUUGUCGUCAGCUCGUGCCGUGAGGUGUCGGCUUAAGUGCCAUAACGAGCGCAACCCUUAUCUUUAGUUACUAACAGGUCAUGCUGAGGACUCUAGAGAGACUGCCGUCGUAAGAUGUGAGGAAGGUGGGGAUGACGUCAAAUCAGCACGGCCCUUACGUCCGGGGCUACACACGUGUUACAAUGGGGGGUACAGAAGGCAGCUACCUGGUGACAGGAUGCUAAUCCCAAAAGCCUCUCUCAGUUCGGAUCGAAGUCUGCAACCCGACUUCGUGAAGCUGGAUUCGCUAGUAAUCGCGCAUCAGCCAUGGCGCGGUGAAUACGUUCCCGGGCCUUGUACACACCGCCCG
rnacentral:rRNA from 1 species